rnacentral:rRNA from 1 species
UACGGGGGGAGCAAGCGUUGUUCGGAUUUACUGGGCGUAAAGGGCGCGUAGGCGGUCGUGACAAGUCACUUGUGAAAUCUCCGGGCUUAACUCGGAACGGUCAAGUGAUACUGUCGGACUAGAGUACAGAAGGGGCAACUGGAAUUCUCGGUGUAGCGGUGAAAUGCGUAGAUAUUGGGAGGAACACCAGUGGCGAAGGCGGCUCACUGGACCGGUACUGACGCUGAGGCGCGAAAGCGUGGGGAGCAAACGGG